GAGGCCUUCGCAGCAAUGUAGAACUAGACCUGUGGGACUUUGAACUUGAGAGAGAUGAUUUAAAGUACCUGGCAGAAGAAAUUUCUUAGCAGCAAAGCAUUCAAGAGGCAGCAGAGCAUAAAAGUUUGGAAAAUUUGCAGCCUAACAAUGCAAUAGGAAAGAAAAACCCAUUUUCUAAGGAGAAAUUCAAGCCGGCCCUGAGAAGAGGGUUACCAUCCUCCAGACCCCAGAAUGGUAGAUCCACCGACAGCUUGCACCAUGCACCUGGAAAAGCCUCAGACACUCACUGCCAGCCCGCGAAAGCAGCCAGGAGGGGGGCUAUACCCUGCAAAGCUACAGAGGUAAAGCUGCUCAAGGCCAUGGGAGCCCAGCUCUUGUAUCACUGUGACCUGGUUGUGAGACAUGGAGUCAAAGGAGAUCAUUUUGGAACUUUAAGGUUUAAUGACUGCCCUAUUGGAUUUCAGACAUGCAUGGGGACUGUAGCCCCUUUGUUUUGGCCAUUUCUCCCAUUCGGAAUGAGCGCAUUUACCCAGUGCCUGUACCUCCAUUGUAUCUAGGAAGUAACUAACUUGCUUUUGAUUUUACAGACUCAUAGGUGGAAGGGACUUACCUUGUCCCAGAUAAGACUUUGGACUUUGACUUUUGGGUUAAUACUGGAAUGAGCUAAGAUUUUGGGGGACUGUUGGAAAGGCAUGAUUGUGUUUUAAAAUGUGAGGACAUGAGAUUUUGGAGGGGCCAUGUGUGGGAUGAUAUGGUUUGGCUGUGUCACCACCCAAAAUCUCAUCUUGAAUUGUAAUCCUCGUAAUCCCCAUGUAUCAAGGGAGGGUCCAGAUGGAGGUAAUUGGAUCAUGAGGGCGGUUCCCCCCAUGCUGUUCUCAUGAUAGUGAGUGCGUCUUGUGCACUUUGCAUACCAUAAAUGUUAAAAAUGAAGGUAACAGAAUUGCUGGGAGUGGUGGCUCACGCCUGUAAUCUGAGCACUUUGGGAGGCUGAGGAGGGCAGGUCACUUGAGGUCAGGAGUUCAGACUCAGCCUGGCCAACAUAGUGAAACCCCAUCUCUAUUAAAAAUACAAAAAUUAGCUGGGCAUGGUGGUGUGCACCUGUGAUCCCAGCCACUUGGGAGGCUGAGACACA
rnacentral:lncRNA from 1 species